GUCCAACUGGUGGUCAGCUGUAGGAUAAUUUGGUGACUCAAAGGAACCUGAUUCUCCUGUUAGCAGCUGGCCAGAUAGUACGGCCUCCACGUUAAUAUCCGUCGAUGGGGUAGAAUCUUUUGGUUCUACCUGACUCCUGGUUUGGGAAUUCGGUCUCAUCUUCAACAAUAUCCGAGUAGAUUAUCGCGACUCCUAGCAGUGACAGAGCAACGAUCACGGCUCUCAAAGCGUCCAUGUAAAAUUUACAGGUACUGCUAACUGUCGUUUUAAGUUUCACUGUUUCGAUUGCGCAGUCACUCGUCUCUAUUCAAGAAGUAAGCCACGUAGAGAUAAGGGAUGACAAUAACAUGCUGAUUGGCUGCUCAAAAUGGAACUAAAAUCGUACGCUUAGUUCGGUAUUUAAGAACAGCGUCUCGCGUAACUCCAACAUUUUUUGGCAAUUUUCGAUGACAAAAACCAUCAUGCACGUUCUUUUCCGUGGCCAUUUUUACCGCAUAUAUUACGACAGCAUCCAAGUUGCACCACCAAUAAUCAGUUUAUCUGCUAUAGUUGGUACUUGGGGUAAGAGGACGCAGCCACAUAUAACCAGCUAUAAUCUAAUCAAAAUAUUAAUAACAGCACACAAUUUUUAAUAGAUAAAGAUUUGGCACAUGGUCAGGUGGAGAGGAUGAAACAGUAAAGAAUGUGUGUAGAUUAAACAAGUGUAAACAGGGAAGUCGAGGACCGGAGUUUAGAAUGAGGAACAGGAAUUUCGUCCACGCAAGAACAAUGCUUAACCAUUUCAUGCGUCGGUGAGCAGCAGAAUUUUGGAGGACAGCAGUUCCAAUGUGGGGAGGCUGAGGGUUGGUAAUUUUGGAAGCGAGCUUUACAGCUUUGAACUUGUGUUUUUACUUCUAGAACAUCCAGUUCCAUUUGUCUAAGAGAAUGAUCUAACUGAAGCCUUUGUUGCCGCUCUUCGGCGAUCGUAUCCCAAAAUCCUGUAAGAUCGUCUGUGCGAAUAGAGUUAGCGUUCCCGAGAGGAGCCUUAGCUGUGUCACGACCAGAUCGUUCACCUGUCGAUUGCAAAAGCUUCUGUAUUUGCCGGACUUCAGAAAGAAGAUCCUGAAACUGAUGUGUCCCACUAUUUAGCCAAUGUGUAUGCUGUCAAUGAAAUAAAUUUCGGUACAAGUUAGUACCUGAGACCAAGGAAA